UAGGGAAUCUUCGGCAAUGGGGGGAACCCUGACCGAGCAACGCCGCGUGAGUGAAGAAGGUUUUCGGAUCGUAAAGCUCUGUUGUUAAGGAAGAACGUGUGUGAGAGUGGAAAGUUCACACAGUGACGGUACUUAACCAGAAAGGGACGGCUAACUACGUGCCAGCAGCCGCGGUAAUACGUAGGUCCCGAGCGUUGUCCGGAUUUAUUGGGCGUAAAGCGAGCGCAGGCGGUUAGAUAAGUCUGAAGUGAAAGGCUGUGGCUUAACCAUAGUACGCUUUGGAAACUGUUUAACUUGAGUGCAAGAGGGGAGAGUGGAAUUCCAUGUGUAGCGGUGAAAUGCGUAGAUAUAUGGAGGAACACCGGUGGCGAAAGCGGCUCUCUGGCUUGUAACUGACGCUGAGGCUCGAAAGCGUGGGGAGCAAACAGGAUUAGAUACCCUGGUAGUCCACGCCGUAAACGAUGAGUGCUAGGUGUUAGACCCUUUCCGGGGUUUAGUGCCGCAGCUAACGCAUUAAGCACUCCGCCUGGGGAGUACGACCGCAAGGUUG
rnacentral:rRNA from 1 species